GGAAAGGCUCAGUGACAGAACAUCUGCUUUGCAUGCAGACGGCACCAGAUUCAAUCCCUGGUAUCUUCA